AUCAAACUCAGGGGCGCUUAAUCACUGAGCCACAUCCCCAGCCUUUAUUUUUCAUUUUGAGACAGGGUCUCACUAAGUUGCUUAGGACCUCACUAAGUUGCUGAGGCUGGCUUUGAACUUGCAAUCCUCCUGCUUCAGCCUCCUGAGCCACUGAUAUUAUACAGUGUACCACUGUACCCAGAUGAAUUCACCUUUUUUCAGCAAUUCUUUCUUUGGAAUUUAAAACACAAGAGAGAAAAAAUAACUAUCAUGCUCAUGUUAACAUGUCUAAAUAAUAUUUCAAGCAUUAGACUUCCAUAAUUGUGUUUUUAUAAUAUAUAUGAACAUACAAAGUCCAAACCUGAUUCACUGACUCAUCACCAGUGCCUUAUUUCAGGCUUACCUUGGUCUCCUCCAUUCUCUCUGGUUUUAAUGUCCCCUCAAAAACUCAUGUGGAAAUUUAGUUGCCAUUUAAUGGUAUUGUAGAGGUAGGACCUUUAAGAAAUGAUUUGGUUAUGAGGGGUCUGUCCUUUUAAAAAAAUAUAUUUACUUCUUACUUAUAGGUGGACACAAUACCUUUUUUUACUCUGUGUGGUGCUGAGGAUCAAACCCAGUACCUCAUCCAUGCUAGGCAAGUGCUCUACCUCUGAGCCACAACCCCAACCCAGGCUCUGUCCUUAUAAAUGAAGAAAUGCCAUUACCACAGCAGUGUGUUUAUGAUCUCAGAAGUGGGUUCCCACUUAAAGGAUGAAUUCAGCCCAACUUCCUCUCUUGUCUUCUGUGUACUCACCUGCCCUUUCAUUGUGUUAUGGCACAGCAUGAAGAUGCUAACCAGAUGCCAGCACUAUAGUCUUGACCUUCUCAGCCCUUUGAACCAGCAGCCAAAUAAACUUGUAUUUUUUUGUGAAUUUCCCAGUCAGUAGUGUCAUUCUAGCAGCAAAAAACAGACAAGGAGGUGCCUAGGAUAAAGCAUCAGAAGUGGUACAGAAGUUCUAUGCCCUCAUCGGGCAUACCAUGGUGCAGCACUCUCUUGUGUUCUUCAAUCUGGAAGCUCUCUGAACCCCACCAUUCAGAUUUUUUACAGUUUCCAGUGUGUAGGCAUGAUAGCCUCAAAAUUUCUUGAUAUUGCAAGGGGUCUGAAACACUAUGCCAGGAAAUAAG
rnacentral:lncRNA from 1 species